GGGACAAGGGAAGAUAUCGGGGCUGAAAAGGCGAAGUGUGUGUGUGUUUGUGUGUGUGUUUCUCCGUCGCACGGCGCGCAGGAAUGAGGCAGAACCGGUCCGAGGCCCAGCCCUUCGCUGGUGUCUUGCUCGGGGACACUUCAACAUGGCACACGGAGCAUCCGGGAUCACCUUGCGGUUCCCACAAUGCACCACGCACGUGUCCUCCCAGAGACAGGAGCAGCUGAGCGUCCUCCCCCCCCGUGACCAGGGCCUCCUUCGCCGCGUCCCACAGGAAGCAGC